rnacentral:sRNA from 1 species
AGUAGAAGAUCAAAGAUUGCACCGUGAUACAGAUGACGUAACAUACCAAGUCUAUGAGGAACAAGUAUAUGAACCUCCAGAAAAUGAAGGGAUAGAAAUCACAGAAGUAACUGCUCCCCCUGAGGAUAAUCCUGUAGAAGAUUCACAGGUAAUUGUAGAAGAAGUAAGCAUUUUUCCUGUGGAAGAACAACAGGAAGUACCACCAGAAACAAAUAGAAAAACAGAUGAUCCAGAACAAAAAGCAAAAGUUAAGAAAAAGAAGCCUAAACUUUUAAAUAAAUUUGAUAAGACUAUUAAAGCUGAACUUGAUGCUGCAGAAAAACUCCGUAAAAGGAGCCUCCGCCCAGGCUGAAGUGCAGUGGCACAGUCUCGGCUAACUGGAACCUCUGCUUCCUGAGUUUAAGCAAUUCUCCUCCCGAGUAGCUGGGAUUACAGGUGCUCACCACCAUGCCUGGCUAAUUUUUGUAUUUUUAGUAGAGACAGGGUUUCACCAUGUUGCCCAGGCUGGUCUUGAACGCCUGACCUCAAGUGAUCCACCCGUCUCAGCCUCCGAAAGUGCUGGGAUUACAGGUGUGAGCCAUAAAUGAGAUUAAAAUAAUAAUAAUAAUAAUAACACUGUCAAGUAUCAUAGAAGUGGAACUUUUUAAUUUUAUAGCUCCUUGAUGCAAAAAGAAAAACUAGGUCAGUCCAUUACUCAGGAUAGUAAUUGGUAGAUGAAAUGACAUUCUUCUUACUUAGGGUUAACCUCAUGCACCUCCAGUUUUCAGGGUAACUUAUUUGUAUUUUAAUUUAUCAAUAUAUUUGAAAUAUUACUUGCAUUUCUUUAUAGAUAUUGCAAUUUUGAAAACAAUAAAUUGAAACUGGA